rnacentral:rRNA from 1 species
AACGAACGCUGGCGGCAUGCCUAACACAUGCAAGUCGAACGAGACCUUCGGGUCUAGUGGCGCACGGGUGCGUAACGCGUGGGAACCUGCCCUUAGGUUCGGAAUAACUCCCCGAAAGGGGUGCUAAUACCGGAUAAUGUCUUCGGACCAAAGAUUUAUCGCCUUUGGAUGGGCCCGCGUUGGAUUAGCUAGUUGGUAGGGUAAAAGCCUACCAAGGCGACGAUCCAUAGCUGGUCUGAGAGGAUGAUCAGCCACACUGGGACUGAGACACGGCCCAGACUCCUACGGGAGGCAGCAGGGGGGAAUAUUGGAACAUGGGGGAAAGGCUUGUCCAGCCAUGCCGCGUGAGUUAUGAAGGCCUUAGGGUUGUAAAGCUCUUUUACCCGGGAUGAUAAUGACAGUACCGGGAGAAUAAGCUCCGGCUAACUCCGUG